AGUGAACGCUGGCGGUAGGCCUAACACAUGCAAGUCGAACGGCAGCACAGUAAGAGCUUGCUCUUACGGGUGGCGAGUGGCGGACGGGUGAGGAAUACAUCGGAAUCUACUUUUUCGUGGGGGAUAACGUAGGGAAACUUACGCUAAUACCGCAUACGUCCUACGGGUGAAAUCAGGGGAUCUUCGGACCUUGCGCGAUUGAAUGAGCCGAUGUCGGAUUAGCUAGUUGGCGGGGUAAAGGCCCACCAAGGCGACGAUCCGUAGCUGGUCUGAGAGGAUGAUCAGCCACACUGGAACUGAGACACGGUCCAGACUCCUACGGGAGGCAGCAGUGGGGAAUAUUGGACAAUGGGCGAAAGCCUGAUCCAGCCAUACCGCGUGGGUGAAGAAGGCCUUCGGGUUGUAAAGCCCUGUUGUUGGGAAAGAAAAGCAGCAGGUGAAUACCCCGCUGUUCUGACGGUACCCAAAGAAUAAGCACCGGCUAACUUCGUG
rnacentral:rRNA from 1 species